UAGUCAACCAAUAACUCAAUUCCAAUUAUCUCAACAAAUUAUACAACCUUCAUUAUCAAACUAUCAGCUUACUCAAUCUCAAAUUCUAGCAAUGCCCAACAUGCAGUCUGCUAAUACCAUAUCAAGCAAUAUGUUUACUCAGUCUCAGUUCUUUGUUACAAACUCUCAACCAACUUUAACUA